rnacentral:lncRNA from 1 species
UUUCAGUGACUCAGUUUGAUGAUUUUUAUUGUUUUCACCCACAAUCAGAGACUUGACCACAAUCUGAGCUGAGUCAGAAACAUAAAAACAGUCGGACUAAUGAAUGUGAUUAUUAUUAUUAGAGUGAUUAAAAAGCUCAUAACAACAUGUAGAUCUGUCCAAAGUCUGAUUCUAGAUGUCUUUACAAACACACUGAUCCAACAGAAGCAGACAGAAAUAUCCAUCGAUCACAUGAACACAAAUAUUCAGCAAACAGAGAAAGAAACAGAUCAUCUGAAGAGUUUUUGGGGACGACUGGAAAGACUUUAGACGCUUGGAUUUGGGACAGGAAAUAAGGUCGUCCUUUUUCUGUGAUUUUGACCUCACUUUUUUCUAAAGUCUCAGACCUUCAACAUCUGCACCAACUGAAGGUGAUUUGAACAAACCAUCAUCUUGAUGUUGUUGAUAUCAAACUUGAUGAAGAUUUUUCAACAUGAGAAAUACAAACAAUCAAAGUUCUCCACAAUCACUGUCCUUAAAGCUGCGACCAAAUCAGCAUCUUUAGAAAAGAAUCAAAAAGCUGAAAUGAAGAACUAAACCCAGAGUUUUUGGUGAGACUGAUCCACAAACAUUUACAAACCAGAACAUUUCAAGAGUUCAAGGAUCUCAGUCCAUGAUUUUGGUCUGAUGGACUCAAAAUUCUCUUUAUUUCACUUCUAUAAACUCAGCAGAGUCGCCAAAACCGUAGCCUAACCACAGUCCAGCAUGUAGCGGUUCAGUGAAUGUGGUCUGGACUCUGUGGAGGAGAGUCAUGGUUUCAGAGACGCUGUAGAAGGACAGAAUACCUGCUCUGUGAUCCAGGUACACUCCUACGCUUGAGGACUGAGGACCUAAUACAGUAGUGCUGCCUUUGUUGUGAAUAAAUCGAUAACUGUCUUUAUGACAGUCUAAUGUCCAAGAUGUGUCACUGAAUCCAAAUAAACAAUCGUUUGAGUUCCCUGCUCUGCUGAUAGUCUUGUAUGCGACUGCUACAAAAACCCUGUUCCCUCUCCAGUCCACCUCCCAGUAACAAUGUCCAGUCAGACUCUCUCUACUCAGGACCUGAAGAUAAUCAGUGAAUCUGUCUGGAUGAUCAGGAUAAGACUGUUCUUGUUCUGUCCAUGUUGCUCUUCUGUUUCCAUCAGAUAAUAACAACCAUCUAUGUGCUGUGUUUGGAUCCAGUGUGAUUCUUUGUGAAUAUCUUAAAAAAUCAGCUCUGGUCUUGGGUUCUGCUGGUUCUGGUGGUUCUGACAGUAAAACAUCCACAUCAGUCACUGCCUGUGAGACGUUUGUCCACGUCUCUGUCAGAAGAUCCUGGAGUUUAUCACUGACCUCUGACACAGCUGCUGUCACCUCCUCAAAGUAUCUCAGAGGACGGAUGUUGAUCCUGGAUGAGUCUGCAGGUUGACCCGGUUCUGACAGUGAGGGGUAGCUGUGCAGAAACUGGUUGUGGUCCUCUGUGAGUGAGAGCUUCUGCAGAUCAGCGUCUUUCCUCUUCAGCUCAGUGAUCUCCUGCUCCAGUUUCUCCUGAAGCUCUUUGACUCGACUCACUUCACGUUCCUGCUGGGAUCUGACCUGCUGCUCCACGUCAGAGUGGCGUUUCUCCAUGAGACGGAUCAGCUGGCUGAAGAUCUCCUGGCUGUGCUCCACAGCUUUAUCAGCAGAGCCGUUGAUAGCCUCCACCUCCUGUUGGAGCAGCUUCACAUCUUCUUCUCUGUCCUGGAUUCUCUGCUGGAUGUUUUCUCGACUCUCCUCCAGAUCUUUCUGCCUCUCAGUCCUUUCUGCUGCAGCUGAGACUGUGUCGUGGCCUUGGUGUUGGUCCAAACAGCAGAGAUGACAGAUAGACUUCAGAUCAGUGCGGCAGAAGAUCUUCAUCACCUCAUCAUGACGAGAGCAGAUGUUCUCCUGGAGCUUCUUGGAGGGCUCCACCAGCUUGUGUUUCUUAAAUGAAGGUGAUUCAAAAUGAGGCUGGAGGUGAAUCUGGCAGUAAGAAACCAGACAUUGAAGACAGGACAUGACAGCUUUCAUUUUUUUUUUCCUAUUGCAGAAAUCACAGGCCACAUCUUCAGGUCCAGCCUCAGAGGGAUCAUCAGGAGCAGCUUGGAGUCCACUCUUCUUCACUUCCUCCACUAAACCUGCUAACUCUGUGUUUUUCAUCAGGCCAGGCCUCCAUCUGAAGGUCCGUCUGCACUGAGGACAGCUGUAGUUCCCCUUUUCAGCCUCAGUAUCCCAGUAGGAUUGAAUACAGCUCAUGCAGAAGCUGUGUCCACAGGAAACAGUCACCGGAUCCUUCAGUAGAUCCAAACAGAUGGAACAAGAGAGAGACUCACGGUUCAGAUGAACUCCUUUCUGCGCCAUUUCAACACUCGCUGUCGACGACGACUGACUGAGUUUUAUUUCCUCAGAAGUGAAACUAGUUCAUGCUCUGAUCUCAACGUGUGUCAACAGGAUAUCAGCUCAGCACACGCUGGCUACACCCGCCCUCAAACUUCAGAUCUGAAGGGGAGGGAAACAGGAAGUGAAGAGAGCAGAGUGGAGUGUGCUGUGUGAGAGACAAGUCGCUGUCGACGACUGAGUUUUAUUUCCUGGUCUGCGCUCUGAUCCUGUGUCAGCUCAAUAUAUGUUGGUUACACCCAUCCUCAGACUGAACACCUGAUCAGAUCUGGGAGGGGAAAUCCAGUUUUUCUACAAUCCAGAAAGAGGAGCGGCAAUGUGAACUUCAGACUCUCAAACUCCAACAAGCAGAGGUUAUUAAAGCUGCAGCCGUCCUGAAGAUCAACUGAACCAACAUUUAUUCACCUCAUAGAAACCUCAUGGAUCACAGACACUUCCAAAUAGUGUCACAUUUCUGUGCAUGUGUGUCUAAUGAGGCAGUUUUGUAUUUUGUUGCAUGUUCUUGGGUGUCAUGUAAUAUUUAUGAAUCCUCUAAAGUUAUUUUUGCAGUUUCUCAUGUUGUUUACUUUCCCUCAGAGGAAUGUCAGCCAGGUGGUGCUUUGACCUGUUUAACCCUUCAAGAGAGGAGCGUUCAGUAUAUGUGUUUGUAUUCAGUCUGUUUUAAGAUGCUGUCAUGUUGUGAUCUGUUAAAGAAGAUAUGAAACUUAAAGUGCAGUUUAACUUAAAGCCAAUCAGCAAUCACACACAUAGAUAUACUGAUCGGAUAUUAAAUACUCAGCCCUCCAAAAAAGGCUUGACAGGAAGCACACUCAAGGUACAACUAAUGUUUUGUCCUUGGACUUCUUUCAUCUUUUGACCACAAAGGUGACACAGGUCUUUUCUCUUUUUUCUCUUUUACCUCAAUCUUGUUUUUGCUUACUGUCUUUUCAGCCUUUGUUAUAACUGUAUUCUUUUCUUAUUUAACCUAUUAGGCCUUUUAUUGGUAGUUUUUUUCUUGCUCAUUUUUGUUAUUCUAUUUUUUUAUUACUAUUUUGAUCAUUAUUAUUUUGUUAUUUUAUUAUCAUUUUUAAUAUCAUCUUUUUAUUACUAUCCUGUUUUCUGCUUUUAACCCCCCUUUUUAUUUCAUUUCUUUUUCUUACCUAUUUUAAGUGUUUAUUCUGGUCCUCAUGGUCUCACUUUAUGUUGUGGGGUUCUUGUAUUUUCUGGGUUCCUUAUGACAAAUAAAAUUGGCCUUCAAUUCAGAGGCCUUGUUUUAACUGAGCUUUUGUUUUUAGUUGUUUUUAUUUCCAUGCGCUGAUGUUCUGUGCUGUUUGACUAUUAGUCAAAGAACUUUGUAAACUUCUGUUUUUAAAAGUGCCGCAAAAAUAACAUUAUUAUUAUAAACCUGAAAUAAUGGACCAAAUAUAACAGGUUACAUAUGAUAAUAUUGAUGAACUUCCAACUUUUAAGUAGCUAUUUUUACUCUGUACGAUACCUUUUACGUUAAAUAAAACAUAGAUUUUUUAAAAUAUAAAUCAGUCAAAUGUCUUCAAAUGAAUUGAAGUAAUAAACUGCAAUAAACACAGUGAACCUAACUGGUUAACCACAGUAUCACAGUACCAACAGUAGCAGCUUACAUUACAAGCUAAACGCUAACAACAGCCAGCUAAGCUCUAGAUAAGUAUGCCAAUAGAGUUAGCCUUGCAUGCUAAUCGGGAGCUAGCGAUUGCUAACGGAAGCUAGCGGCGCUAACCAAAUGCUAACCACGGACACUUAAUCACACUCUCUAAUUCAACAUUCUCUUAUUUCUCUCCAAGGACAAUGAAAUAAGCACCAACACGUUAUAAAUUCAGAGGCUACACAUUGUUAGCAGGCGAUUUCUUACCAAUGGACUGUUAGCUUCUGCCAAACUCGGACACAACUGGCGUGAUAAGUAACACCGGAAGUCCGCGGACUUUUCAAAAUAAAAUGCAGAGGUACAAAACUCUUAAAUAAACGACUCAAAGUAACAAAUAAUGAUUUAAUAAUGCUUGUCUUGACAUAUACAUCUUAUAUCUCUUUCAAUAUUUUUAUUCUUACUUAAAGAAAACCUGAUCCAGCUGCAGGACCCACAUCUGGGACCUGUAACACCUGUGAGUGACCACAUCAUGGAAAUCCUACAGACCACAUGAAUCCAUGACCCAGACAGACCGGUAACAUGACAUCCAGCAGAAACAGACCAAAUAAAGAAAAACAGACGAGGUGAUUUCAGUGACUCAGUUUGAUGAUUUUUAUUGUUUUCACCCACAAUCAGAGACUUGACCACAAUCUGAGCUGAGUCAGAAACAGAAAAACAGUCGGACUAAUGAAUGUGAUUAUUAUUAUUAGAGUGAUUAAAAAGCUCAUAACAACAUGUAGAUCUGUCCAAAGUCUGAUUCUAGAUGCCUUUACAAACACACUGAUCCAACAGAAGCAGACAGAAAUAUCCAUCGAUCACAUGAACACAAAUAUUCAGCAAACAGAGAAAGAAACAGAUCAUCUGAAGAGUUUUUGGGGACGACUGGAAAGACUUUAGACGCUUGGAUCUGGGACAGGAAAUAAGGUCGUCCUUUUUCUGUGAUUUUGACCUCACUUUUUUCUAAAGUCUCAGACCUUCAACAUCUGCACCAACUGAAGGUGAUUUGAACAAACCAUCAUCUUGAUGUUGUUGAUAUCAAACUUGAUGAAGAUUUUUCAACAUGAGAAAUACAAACAAUCAAAGUUCUCCACAAUCACUGUCCUUAAAGCUGCGACCAAAUCAGCAUCUUUAGAAAAGAAUCAAAAAGCUGAAAUGAAGAACUAAACCCAGAGUUUUUGGUGAGACUGAUCCACAAACAUUUACAAACCAGAACAUUUCAAGAGUUCAAGGAUCUCAGUUCAUGAUUUUGGUCUGAUGGACUCAAAAUUCUGUUUAUUUCACUUCUAUAAACUCAGCAGAGUCUGAAGUGAAGAGUCCAGCAUGUAGAGGUUCAGUGAAUGUGGUUUGGACUCUGUGGAGGAGAGUCAUGGUUUCAGAGAUGCUGUAGAAGGACAGAAUACCUGCUCUGUGAUCCAGGUACACUCCUACUCUGGAGGACUGAGGAACUGGGAUAUCAGUGCGGACUUUGUUGUGAAUAAAUUUAUACCUGUCUUUAGAACAGAAUAACAUCCAAGAUUUGUCACUGAAUCCAAAUACACAAUCCUGGGAGUCUCCUGCUCUCCUGAUAGUCUUGUAUGCGACUGCUACAAAAACCCCAUCCCCUCUCCAGUCCACCUCCCAGUAACAACGUCCAGUCAGACUCUCUCUACUCAGGACCUGAAAAUAAUAAGUGAAUCUGUCUGGAUGAUCAGGAUAAGACUGUUCUUCUCCUGUCAAUGUUGCUCUUCUGUUUCCAUCAGAUAAUAACAGCCAUUCGUUUGCUGUGUUUGGAUCCAGUGUGAUUCUUUGUGAAUAUCUUAAGAAACCAGCUCUGGUCUUGGGUUCUGCUGGUCCUGGUGGUUCUAACAGUAAAACAUCCACUUCAGUCACUGCCUGUGAGACGUUUGUCCACGUCUCUGUCAGAAGAUCCUGGAGUUUCUCUCUGAGCUCUGACACAGCUG